CUCGGAUGGGUGACCUCCUGCGGAGUCCUUAUAUUUCACCCAUUUAUUUGUGAAGUCCUCGUGUCGCACCAAUUUUUUUUCAGACGGAUCGUUCGACGUUACGCGCGUCUGGAACUAGGGUCCGCUGGUUUAUACGCAAAUGUGAGUCAAGAAUCAGGGGUAUUUUAAUCGAUAUUAGAACGAGAAUGAGAGGUGAAGUGUGAACGCAUAAGGA
rnacentral:lncRNA from 1 species